CCCAUAGGCAGCGCUCAAGCGGCCGGCGGCGCACGUACCGGCGGCGAGCGGAGCACUACCGAGUGGAGGUGCACGAGGUGGUAGCUGCCGGAGGGGAGGAAGAUCUGCGGGGAAGACAAUACCACAUCGCCGCUCCACAUCGCCGCUCGACAUCGCCGCUCCACAUCGCCGCCGCCGCCGUUCUUGGACCUGACCGUCGACGCCACCUCCUGUACUUCGGUAUCCUCUCCGGUUUUGCUAUUCUGCAAACCUGGCAUUCUCUCCGGUAAAUUCAUUCAGCGACGAGACUCCACCCUCUUGGGAUCAUGUAAAAACACCAGUAUUCGGAUGUCAUGGACUUGGUGAGUGUAGAACGUAUUAGGAAGAGGAAAAAGGAAGAUGAAGAAUUCAUGUUUAUCAUUUUGCCUGCAUUGCACUUCCAUUUAACAUGGCAAAAGCAAAGACAAGUACGCCACCUUUCGUUUGUAUACGGCAAGGAGCAUGUCAGAAAAUUGCUUGGAGGACACCUCAAGGACUGCUUAGUUGCCUUUAGGAUGGAGCCAGACAUUUUCACGUGGUUGGCGUCAUACCUUAGAGAUGAGGGCUUGAUUUUAGAUUCCAGAAUCAAGGUGGAAGAGAAGCUUGCAUUUUUCUUGUACAUGCUCUCACAUAAUGCUUCAUACGAACAAAUGCAAUUAGAGUUUAAGCAUAGUGGUUGGAGUUUCAGCAAGUAUGUCAGGGAAUUCUUUGAUAUUAUUCCAACCUUAACAACAAGAAUGGUGAAGCCUCUCAAUCUAUAUGAAACUCAUCCAAAGAUAGCUACAGACCGCCUCUUCUUCCC